UCGCGGCCUAUCAGCUUGUUGGUGGGGUAAUGGCCUACCAAGGCGACGACGGGUAGCCGGCCUGAGAGGGCGACCGGCCACACUGGGACUGAGAUACGGCCCAGACUCCUACGGGAGGCAGCAGUGGGGAAUAUUGCACAAUGGGCGGAAGCCUGAUGCAGCAACGCCGCGUGCGGGAUGACGGCCUUCGGGUUGUAAACCGCUUUCACCAGGGGCGAAUUUGGACGGUACCUGGGGAAGAAGCACCGGCUAACUACGUGCCAGCAGCCGCGGUGAUACGUAGGGUGCGAGCGUUGUCCGGAUUUAUUGGGCGUAAAGGGCUCGUAGGUGGUUUGUUGCGUCGGAAGUGAAAACCUGCAGCUUAACUGUGGGCUUGCUUUCGAUACGGGCAGACUUGAGGAAGGUAGGGGAGAACGGAAUUCCUGGUGGAGCGGUGGAAUGCGCAGAUAUCAGGAGGAACACCGGUGGCGAAGGCGGUUCUCUGGACCUUUCCUGACGCUGAGGAGCGAAAGCGUGGGGAGCAAACAGGCUUAGAUACCCUGGUAGUCCACGCCGUAAACGGUGGGCACUAGGUGUGGGGGACAUUCCACGUUCUCCGUGCCGUAGCUAACGCAUUAAGUGCCCCGCCUGGGGAGUACGG
rnacentral:rRNA from 1 species